UGCCCUCAGCUGGGUCCCUGCCUGCUGCACUCGUCCCUGCCCUGAUGGCCUCCCGCCACUGGAAGUUCAUGGCCAUAGUCCUGCUGACCGUCCUCGGCCUGCUGGGCAGUGAGCUGGGUGCCCAGACACCUGGGUUCCCUCUGGCUCUGCAGUCUGGGGGACUUAGAGCAGGGGGGUUCUGGGAGCCUGGAUGCCCAGGUUCUCACCUGGACCUGCGACUGGGACACCUGGGUUCUCCCUUGCACCUAAUUCCCAUGAGAAUUAGACUCUGAAUGGAGGUGACCAGAGGAUUAGGGCUCCUGGCUUGCUUGGGGGGGUUGUCCCUUGUCACCCCCCAGCCAGGCUGGCUCCAGGCCAUGACCCCUGGCUGCUUUGCUCCUUGCUAGGCGCUGGCCUUGGGGACUGGGUUGUGACCCUGCCGCAAGACUCUGUGUUGGGUCAGGAGGGCUCCUGCGUGACCCUCAACUGCAGCUACAACAUCUCUGGAGGGAAGAUCGGGGCCAUGUGGUGGGAGCAGAAUGGAUCCAUCAUUGCACAACACUCAGAUGAGGCUUCAAAAACCGGACUUAGUCCUUCAACAAGCAACCAGGCAACUGCUCUCUGCGGCUUGUGGGGCUGCGCCCAGGGGAUCAGGGCACCUACCAGGCCUGCAUUUGGCAGGAGAAAGACCACAGUACUGAACAGUGGUGCAGGUCUGGAGCCGUGCGGCUCCAUUUGACAGCCCACCCAUGCAGGCCCACCCUGGGGACAGGUUUAGGACCAGGGACCUUCCUCUCCUGCUCUGCACAGCCCGACUGCCAGGGAUCCUUGGCCAGGACAGGCAGAGGAUCCAGGGGCAGAGCCAGCAUGGGACAAGGCAGAACUUGCUCUCGGUGCCCCCGUCUUGGCUGGGCCCCAACAUGGUGCUGAGCUGCCGGGUGCUCAGGCACAGAGACCAGUGUAAACCUGAGGAGAACCAGCCCCCACAGCCAGGUGAGCUGUGGGUCAGAAUCCAGCAACUGGAGGGGACGCACUGGUGCUGGAAGGUAAGUCCUUCACCCUGGACUGUGCGGGUCGCCCCUGGGUGCCCAUGGCCAGUUACCUCUGGUCCCGCGGGGAAGAAUGGCUGCCGGAAACCAGGCAUGAUUUGUGCAUCUUUGGCACUGGCGUUGCUCACGGAGACAUCUACACCUGCAGUGUCUGGGUCUCUGGUCCUGGCUGGGGGCUCCUGGUCUCCUCUGACAACAAAUCCAUCACGGUUCAGUGUGAGUGCCGUGACCUCCCUCCCAAUUGCACCCUGAACAGAGUGAGCACCCCCAAGGGCUCAAUGGGGCCUUAAAGGGGCUGGACAUGAUGUCCAACACCCCUGGUGCUCCCCCUGCUCCCUUGGAAACCCCACCCUGGGGUUUCCCAGCCCAGCAGCUUUAGGUCCAUCCAGGCCUGAACCCUGGGCACCUGAAAGCUCCCCAUUCCCCCUCCAUGCUUUCCCACUCCCACAUCUUCAUCUUUUCCCCAUCACCCAGGGGGGUGUCCCGGGGUCCCACUGGUGCCAUGGGUUUGAGCCCUCCCCAGCUGACCCUGGCCACCCUCAGUCCCCACCAGGGGUCUGAGUGCAAGCAGCAUUGCCAGAGCCAUUGUUGGGCCCCUUCUCCUCCUGGCCAGCACAGGGGCCGGGUACUGGCUCGGAAGGCGCCAGCAGGGUAAGUCAGGGUCAUGGGAUGGUUGCGGGGUUGGGACCCCGACUGGCCCCACACUGCCCCCUUCCACCCCCACAGGCACCAGCGACCAUGGCCUCCCAGAACUGGAGCCCAACUAAAAGGUGAGGAUGGGGGUCUUGGCACCCUGGGACCCCAUGGCUGGCACCACCAGGACCCAGGGCUCUCAGCAGCUGACACCAUCCCAGCCCCUGUAGCGCACCCCACACGGGCGACUCACAGCAUCUCUUUCUCUCUCUCUGCAUCUGACGGGGUCGUCGCACCUGAGCCAGGAUAUUUAUGCCAUGUUGGAGGGUCCAGAAGAGGGUCCCCAAUUCAUGACCACCACUGGUCCUUAAGCUAAUGAAGAAUAAAUGAGUGUUUCCAGCUAAUGACAAACAAACGAGUGUUUCUGCCCCCCCCCGGCCCCCCCUGCUCUAGCACAGGGCACCCC